GGUUUGAUUUUGGCUCAGAUUGAACGCUGGCGGGAUGCUUUACACAUGCAAGUCGAACGGCAGCACGGACUUCGGUCUGCAGGGCGAGUGGCGAACGGGUGAGGUACGUAUCGGAACGUGCUCAGUAGCGGAUAACUACGCGAAAGCGGAAGCAAUACCGCAUAUUGCCCUUCGGGAAAGCGGGGGACCUUCGCCUCGCACUAUUAGAGCGGCCGAUAUCGGAUUAGCUAGUUGGUGGGGUAACGGCUCACCAAGGCGACGAUCCGUAGCUGGUUUGAGAGGACGACCAGCCACACUGGGACUGGAGAUACGGCCCAGACUCCUACGGGAGGCAGCAGGGGGAAUUUCGCACAAUGGGGAACCCCUGAUCCAGCCAUCCCGCGUGUGCGCGAUGAAGGCCUUCGGGUUGUAAAGCACUUUGGCAGGAGAAGAAACGGCACGGGAUAAUACUCCCGUGCAACUGACGGGUACCGUGGUGAAUAAGCACCGGCUAACUACGUACAGCAGCCGCGGUAAUACGUAGGGUGCAAGCGUUAAUCGGAAUUACUGGGCGUAGCGUGCGCAGGCGGUUCGGAAAGAGCAUGAAAUCCUGGAGCUUAACUUUGGAACUGCAUUUUUAACUACCGAGUUUGUGAGUGCCGAGGAGGGAAUUCCGCGUGUAGCAGUGAAAUGCGUAGAUAUGCGGAGUACCACCGAUGGCGAAGCAGCCUCCUGGGAUAACACUGACGCUAUGCACGAAAGCGUGGGAGCAAACAGGAUUAGAUACCCUGGUAGUCCACGCCCUAAACGAUGUCAUCUAUUGUUGGGGCCUUUCGGGCCUUGUAACGCAGCUAACGCGGUGAAGUGACCACCAGAGUACGGUCGCAAGAUUAAAAACUCAAAGGAAUUGACGGGGACUCCGCACAAGCGGUGGAUGAUGUGGAUUAAUUCGAUGCAACGCGAAAACUCAACACCCUUGACAUGUCUGGAAUCCGGAAGAGUUUGGGAGGCUCGCAGAGAACCGGAACACAGGUGCUGCAUGGCUGUCGUCAGCUCGUGUCGUGAGAUGUUGGGUUAAGUCCCGCAACGAGCGCAACCUCACCACAGGCUGCUACGAAAGGGCACUGGAAUGAGACUGCCGGGUGACAAACCGGAGGAAGGUGGGGAUGACGUCAAGUCCCUGCGGUCUUGCGGGUAGGGCUUCACACGUCAUACAAUGGUGUCGGGACAGAGGGUCGCUAACCCGGGCGAGGGGAGCUAAUCCCAGAAACCUGAUCGGGAACUGGAUCGCAGUCUGCAACUCGACUGCGUGAAGUCGGAAUCGCUAGUAAUCGCGGAUCAGCAUGUCGCGGUGAAUACGUUCCCGGUCUUGUACACACCGCCCGUCACACCAUGGGAGUGGGUUUUACCAGAAGAAGCAGGCCUAACCGUAAGGAGGGCGAUUUCACGCGGUAGGAUUCAUGACUGGGGUGAAGUCGUAACAGUAACCCCC
rnacentral:rRNA from 1 species